UUCUUGGUGGGUGGAUUUGUCCACUUUAUGAUAGAAACACGUAACUUUACGAACAAAUUGAGUGUUUUUUUCUCAUAUAGUUAUCCGUAUUUGGUACUGAAGAGCCAAUAAGGCAAGGCGAAACAUUCAGGUGUCUACCAGUGAGGAUGACAGUAUUUCAUCAAAAUACCUGGAACCAUGCUCGAAGACACACAACUUCACUGCCUGUGCAUUAGACCACGCCAAAAAGGCCAUACCUCAUCUGUUGAAUGGAGACAAGCACUUGAAAAUCCCCCCAAUGAACCCUUUGAGAAUAUCGCUUGUAGACCUUCAGGGAGGCAAAAAUUUCCACUUGCUGGCUAAGAAUAUAAAAGUCUUUGGUCUGGAUAAAGUAGAGGUAUUGGAUAUUGACGUUGACUUCGACAAAAUGGAAGCACACACUUUGAGCACAGUUCCACGUUUGGAAAUCUUAUCAGACUAUGAG